AUUGAACGCUGGCGGCAUGCCUUACACAUGCAAGUCGAACGGUAACGGGCCUUCGGGUGCCGACGAGUGGCGAACGGGUGAGUAAUGUAUCGGAACGUACCUUUCAGUGGGGGAUAACGUAGCGAAAGUUACGCUAAUACCGCAUAUUCUGUGAGCAGGAAAGCAGGGGAUCUUCGGACCUUGCGCUUUUGGAGCGGCCGAUGUCGGAUUAGCUAGUUGGUGGGUAAAGGCCCACCAAGGCGACGAUCUGUAGCGGGUCUGAGAGGAUGAUCCGCCACACUGGAACUGAGACACGGUCCAGACUCCUACGGAGGCAGCAGU
rnacentral:rRNA from 1 species